rnacentral:rRNA from 1 species
UGGGGAAUAUUGCACAAUGGGCGAAAGCCUGAUGCAGCAACGCCGCGUGAGCGAUGAAGGCCUUCGGGUCGUAAAGCUCUGUCCUCAAGGAAGAUAAUGACGGUACUUGAGGAGGAAGCCCCGGCUAACUACGUGCCAGCAGCCGCGGUAAUACGUAGGGGGCUAGCGUUAUCCGGAAUUACUGGGCGUAAAGGGUGCGUAGGUGGUUUUUUUAAGUCAGAAGUGAAAGGCUACGGCUCAACCGUAGUAAGCUUUUGAAACUGAAGAUCUUGAGUGAAGGAGAGGAGAGUAGAAUUCCUAGAGUAGCGGUGAAAUGCGUAGAUAUUAGGAGGAAUACCAGUAGCGAAGGCGGCUCUCUGGACUGUAACUGACACUAAGGCACGAAAGCGUGGGGAGGAAACA